ACUCCAAACUCUUCUAUGCAUUUAAUACACCACUCAGCAGACUUCAUUUUUCUAGCAGCAAUCUCUCUUUCUCAAAGGGGAACUAGUACAAAUCUUUGUAUGUGUAUAUAUACACACUUUCUUACCAGAUUCAGGAGCCCUUGCUCAUGAUUUCUAAUAACAACACCCCAAAGCUGAAUACACCAUUCUUGCCUGACAAGAAUCCUCUGAAUGCAUACUCAGGAGCUAUGAAGCCACUUAAAACUACUUGUGAAAGCAAGAUCCAGCAUGACACAGACACACCAAUUGCCAAUGUAAGGAGUAGCACCACACCAACAAUUGAUAUUGCGAUUACAAUCUGUGGCAACUGAUCAGAACCUGAACCACCCUCAGGUUUUAUUUCCGGAGGUGCAGCUGCUGUAGACGUUGGUGGUGGGAGUGUUAUAGGUGCAGGUAUUCUUACAAAUGGAGCAGUUUUGCUGUCUCUGUGCCUUGGUUCAAUGUGAAACUGGAUAUUAGUUGGAGUGGCUACCCAACCAAACGCCCUUCAGACACUGCGUGCAACUCUCUUCACUAGCAUCUCUAGUGCAAUCUACGUAACCAUACAGUGGAUGAUCAUCUGGUAAUCUUGUUUGAGCUACUGCAUAACUCUUAUCGGAUGCACCUGCAGCGAAUGAUAGAUUUUGCAUGAACAUAUUAAUUGUUAGAUAAUAAUAAAUAUAUGCCACAGCUCUCGUAUCAUAUAUCAUGAAGGAGAUUGAGUAGCCAGUCUGGCUUAUGAAGUUAAUGGAGGAGUACCUUAUCAUACAGUAAGUUAACCAAACCUAAUCUGCUGUUUGAUUAGGACACGCACGACGAACGCUUAGCAUAGCAGCAUCUACACAGGUUUGGCAAUCAGUGAAGCUAUGGUAGCACGACAAAGGGCAAGGGCUGUGACAAGGUUAGCUGAAUCGUUAUAUAUAGUGGUGGUACCGAAACCAGUGGCAACAGUUAUAUUUUGAAGUAGGGCUAGUGCUUAGCCAAGAUUGAUAGAGAAAAUCGAAUUAGAUGGUAGUUGUGAGUAUCACACAUGUGUAAUAACGAAGAUCAUUCACCUCAUCGGAAAAUGCUAACUUCAGUGCAAGGAGGAAACAACAGGGGAGAAGAUAUAGCAUUUCCUUUUGCUGCACCGGUAAAAGUUUAGCUUCAGAAUAUUAGUAACAAAAACUGUAGCAACUGAGGUAGAAUCCUUCAAGGCUUAAACUCUAAUUGUAAAGAAACUGUUACCUUUGAUGUAUUAAUAUACUUGAAUUGAAAGUUCAUUUAAAUCAUCA